UGGCUCUCGCAUCGAUGAAGAACGCAGCGAAAUGCGAUAAGUAAUGUGAAUUGCAGAAUUCAGUGAAUCAUCGAAUCUUUGAACGCACCUUGCACCCCUUGGUAUUCCGAGGGGUAUGCCUGUUUGAGUGUCAUUAAAUUAUCAACUUGGAAAUUUUCUUUUUUCCAAUGUUUGGACUUGGAGCGUGCCGGCGGUGUCCUUCCCCGGCUCCUCUUCAAAUGCAUUAGCAGAUCUAUUGCUGAUCCCUGCUCCAGCGUGAUAGUUAUCAACGUUGCGGUGGGUGUAUGCGCAGGUCGGCUCAUAACCGUCGCAUAUAUGCGCGACAUCUCUUUGACAAUUUUGACCUCAAAUCAGGUAGGACUACCCGCUGA
rnacentral:misc_RNA from 1 species